CCCACUCAAAUAUUUCAUUUCCUCUCUAAAUGCAUUUGUGCCCCCUCUCUGUCUCCUAGUUUCUGCCUGUGAGCAAUUCUCCUCCAAAUUCACGAUCUCCAUGAGUUUUUCUCUUCGAGCCAUUUGAGGAGAGAAGACCGACGAGAAGACCCCGCUUUUUGAACCGAGGAGAAGAGCAAUCACCAUGAGUUUCUCUCUUUUGGGUUGUGCUCUUGAAUUGAGGAUUUUUCAGCAUGACUGACGAUGCCUUUUUGAAUAUAUAUAUCCCAAAGCAACUGUGAAGCAGCCACAGAGAAGGAAAGCUUACAAGAAUGAGAACUAGGCAUAUAGAUCACACAAGGCUCAUGUUGAGGGAGACGAGAUUGAGAGUCAAUGAGUAUAACUCACUUCGACCGGAGAAUGCUACUCGGUUCUUAUAUUGCCUAUGUUUUUGUUUCACUAGGCUUUUGCCUAUGUUUUUGGAACUUGACUAGGCUUUUUGAUUGCCUAUGAUAAUUUUUUCUUGGACUACAUCUAUGUACAUAGUUACUCACUUUGGAGUCUUGUGAACAAUAGUAUAUUAUUUUGCCUUACAUGUACUUUGCUAGAGGUUUAUGAAUUGUGACUAUUGCAUUGUGAUUU